UNUGGUCUGUCACUGACGCUGAGGCUCGAAAGCGUGGGUAGCGAACAGGAUUAGAUACCCUGGUAGUNCACGCCGUAAACGAUGAGUGCUAGGUGUUAGGCCCUUUCCGGGGCUUAGUGCCGGAGCUAACGCAAUAAGCACUCCGCCUGGGGAGUACGACCGCAAGGUUGAAACUCAAAGGAAUUGACGGGGGCCCGCACAAGCGGUGGAGCAUGUGGUUUAAUUCGAAGCAACGCGAAGAACCUUACCAGGUCUUGACAUCCCGAUGCUAUUCUUAGAGAUAGGAAGUUACUUCGGUACAUCGGAGACAGGUGGUGCAUGGUUGUCGUCAGCUCGUGUCGUGAGAUGUUGGGUUNNNNNNNNCAACGAGCGCAACCCUUAUUGUUAGUUGCCAUCAUUAAGUUGGGCGCUCUAGCGAGACUGCCGGUAAUAAACCGGAGGAAGGUGGGAUGACGUCAAAUCAUCAUGCCCCUUAUGACCUGGGCUACACACGUGCUACAAUGGUCGGUACAACGAGUUGCGAGCCGGUGACGGCAAGCUAAUCUCUGAAAGCCGAUCUCAGUUCGGAUUGGAGGCUGCAACUCGCCUCCAUGAAGUCGGAAUCGCUAGUAAUCGCGGAUCAGCACGCCGCGGUGAAUACGUUCCCGGGCCUUNU
rnacentral:rRNA from 1 species